rnacentral:rRNA from 1 species
UACGGAGGGGGGCUAGCGUUGUUCGGAAUUACUGGGCGUAAAGCGCACGUAGGCGGCUUUGUAAGUUAGAGGUGAAAGCCCAGGGCUUAACCCUGGAAUUGCCUUUAAGACUGCAUCGCUAGAAUCGUGGAGAGGUGAGUGGAAUUCCGAGUGUAGAGGUGAAAUUCGUAGAUAUUCGGAAGAACACCAGUGGCGAAGGGCGACUCA